rnacentral:rRNA from 1 species
AGUGAACGCUGGCGGUAGGCCUAACACAUGCAAGUCGAACGGCAGCACAGUAAGAGCUUGCUCUUACGGGUGGCGAGUGGCGGACGGGUGAGGAAUACAUCGGAAUCUACUUUUUCGUGGGGGAUAACGUAGGGAAACUUACGCUAAUACCUCAUACGACCUACGGGUGAAAGCAGGGGAUCUUCGGACCUUGCGCGAUUGAAUGAGCCGAUGUCGGAUUAGCUAGUUGGCGGGGUAAAGGCCCACCAAGGCGACGAUCCGUAGCUGGUCUGAGAGGAUGAUCAGCCGCACUGGAACUGAGACACGGUCCAGACUCCUACGGGAGGCAGCAGUGGGGAAUAUUGGACAAUGGGCGCAAGCCUGAUCCAGCCAUACCGCGUGGGUGAAGAAGGCCUUCGGGUUGUAAAGCCCUUUUGUUGGGAAAGAAAAGCAGCAGGUUAAUACCCCGCUGUUCUGACGGUACCCAAAGAAUAAGCACCGGCUAACUUCGUG